rnacentral:rRNA from 1 species
AGCAUGGUCUUAGCUUGCUAAGGCCGAUGGCGACCGGCGCACGGGUGAGUAACACGUAUCCAACCUGCCGUCUACUCUUGGACAGCCUUCUGAAAGGAAGAUUAAUACAAGAUGGCAUCAUGAGUCCGCAUGUUCACAUGAUUAAAGGUAUUCCGGUAGACGAUGGGGAUGCGUUCCAUUAGAUAGUAGGCGGGGUAACGGCCCACCUAGUCUUCGAUGGAUAGGGGUUCUGAGAGGAAGGUCCCCCACAUUGGAACUGAGACACGGUCCAAACUCCUACGGGAGGCAGCAGUGAGGAAUAUUGGUCAAUGGGCGAGAGCCUGAACCAGCCAAGUAGCGUGAAGGAUGACUGCCCUAUGGGUUGUAAACUUCUUUUAUAAAGGAAUAAAGUCGGGUAUGGAUACCCGUUUGCAUGUACUUUAUGAAUAAGGAUCGGCUAACUCCGUGCCAGCAGCCGCGGUAAUACGGAGGAUCCGAGCGUUAUCCGGAUUUAUUGGGUUUAAAGGGAGCGUAGAUGGAUGUUUAAGUCAGUUGUGAAAGUUUGCGGCUCAACCGUAAAAUUGCAGUUGAUACUGGAUAUCUUGAGUGCAGUUGAGGCAGGCGGAAUUCGUGGUGUAGCGGUGAAAUGCUUAGAUAUCACGAAGAACUCCGAUUGCGAAGGCAGCCUGCU